AGCAUUUUUAAUUGCUAAAAUGUGAACUCUUUUGAGAAUUUUUGGAAAUUGUUUUGAUUUCUACAGUUUCCCAAUACUUUUACUGUACAUAAUGGACCGGCUUACAACGAAUUUUUAAAUGUGAACGUUCUCUUUGAUCUAUAAUAUGAUUGACUCCGAAAAUUACCACCAAGGUCUAGAAUUUCGAAAUGUUAUGUAAAAUGAAGAUGCCGAACCUCUACAAAAUUAACUUCUGAUAUCAUAAUCCAUCGAUUUCACCUCUUUUAAAUGUGCAAAUACGUCGUAAUACAUGGAGAAUGAAAGAUCGCACUUCCUUCAUCCGAAGUCUGAGUGCCAGAUAUAAGAUCAAGAUUCGAGUCUUGGAAUUGAGGGCCUUGGCCAGCUGCAAAAAAUCAUCUUUAAUUGACGCCUGAAUGGGACGAAAUCGAUUUAUAAAUUCAAAUGUCAUAAUAGACUUUUCAAUCGAACGAGAUGAAUUCAAAGCCAGAAAUAUAAAUGUAGACUUUUGAACAAAAUCUUCUAUACUUCAAUUCGCAUUAAGCUUGAAAACGAGAGAAAGUGGAAGUUUCUUGAAAACAGGGG